AUUUAAAUAGCUUAAAUUUAUUAAAGUUUAAUAUUGAAGAUAUUAAGAUAGGUAAAACCUUUUAAAUA
rnacentral:tRNA from 1 species